GGCUAGUUAGCUUAGUUGGUAGCGCGUCUGCCUUGUAAGCGCUAGGCCGCGGGUUCGAAUCCCGCCCG
rnacentral:tRNA from 1 species